CAGUCGCCGCGGUAAUACGAAGGGUGCAAGCGUUACUCGGAAUUACUGGGCGUAAAGCGUGCGUAGGUGGUGGUUUAAGUCCGUUGUGAAAGCCCUGGGCUCAACCUGGGAAUUGCAGUGGAUACUGGGUCACUAGAGUGUGGUAGAGGAUAGUGGAAUUUCCGGUGUAGCAGUGAAAUGCGUAGAGAUCGGAAGGAACAUCUGUGGCGAAGGCGACUAUCUGGGCCAACACUGACACUGAGGCACGAAAGCGUGGGGAGCAAACAGGAUUAGAGACCCGAGUAGUCCCUGUCUCUUAUAA
rnacentral:rRNA from 1 species